rnacentral:tRNA from 1 species
GCGCGAGUGGCGGAACUGGCAGACGCGCAGGACUUAGAAUCCUGUGGAUGAAUAAUCCGUGUGGGUUCAAGUCCCACCUCGCGCACCA